rnacentral:rRNA from 1 species
UACAGAGGGUGCGAGCGUUGUCCGGAAUCAUUGGGCGUAAAGGGCGCGUAGGUGGCCCGACAAGUCGCUGGUGAAAGCUCGACGCUCAACGUCGAGUCGGCCAGUGAUACUGUUGGGCUGGAGCACUGUAGAGGCUCAUGGAAUUCCGGGUGUAGCGGUGGAAUGCGUAGAGAUCCGGAAGAACACCGGUGGCGAAGGCGGUGAGCUGGGCAGUUGCUGGCACUGAGGCGCGACAGCGUGGGGAGCAAACAGG